rnacentral:rRNA from 1 species
AGUCUUAGGAAUUGAUCUAAGAUUUUACCUGCCCAGUGUACAUAGUGUAUAAAUGGCCGCGGUACUUUGACCGUGCUAAGGCAGCGCAAUCAAUUGGCUUUUAAUUGGGGUCAGGAAUGAAUGGAAUCACGUAAUUUAGCUGUCUCUUUAUUAAUUAUUUGAAUUUACUAUGUUGGUGAAAAAGCCUACGUAAUGAAAAAAGACGAGAAGACCCUUAGAGUUUUACUUAAAUUAAAUUAUAUUAUUGUAUUUAUAAUAGUUUAGUUGGGGCAACAUAAGAACAUAUUAGAUAAAUUUCUAUAAUUAUACAAACCGAUAAUUUAUAAAUUUGAAUAAACUACCUAAGGGAUAACAGCAUUAUGUUAAAAAUUAGUUUGUGACCUCGAUGUUGGACUGGGAAACUAAAAGGCUAGCCGUUUUUUAGGAAGGUUCUG